ACUCAAAUGAAUUGACGGGGGCCCGCACAAGCGGUGGAGCAUGUUGUUUAAUACGUCACUAACCGUAGAACCUUACCAGGGCUUGACAUCCGUCGACCGCCUGUGAAAGCAGGUUUUCCUCGCAAGAGGACGGCGAGACAGGUGUUGCAUGGCUGUCGUCAGCUCGUGUCGUGAGAUGUUGGGUUAAGUCCCGCAACGAGCGCAACCCUCACCCCAUGUUGCCAGCGAGUCAUGUCGGGAACUCUUGGGGAACUGCCUGGGUAACCGGGAGGAAGGUGGGGAUGACGUCAAGUCAGCAUGGCCCUUACGCCCUGGGCUACAAACAUGCUACAAUGGACGGCAGACAAAGGGAUCCGAGACCGCGAGGUGGAGGCAAUCUCAAAAAUCCGUUCCCAGUUCAGAUCGCAGGCUGCAACUCGCCUGCGUGAAGUCGGAAUCGCUAGUAACCGCAGAUCAGCUAAGCUGCGGUGAAUACGUUCCCGGGCCUUGUACACACCGCCCGU
rnacentral:rRNA from 1 species